UGAGGAAUAUUGGUCAAUGGGCGCGAGCCUGAACCAGCCAAGUCGCGUGAGGGAAGACGGCCCUACGGGUUGUAAACCUCUUUUGCCGGGGAGCAAAUGCGCCACGUGUGGCGCUGCGGNAGUACCCGGAGAACAAGCAUCGGCUAACUCCGUGCCAGCAGCCGCGGUAAUACGGAGGAUGCGAGCGUUAUCCGGAUUUAUUGGGUUUAAAGGGUGCGUAGGCGGUGCGUUAAGUCAGCGGUAAAAUUGAGGGGCUCAACCCCUUCCCGCCAUUGAAACUGGCGUGCUUGAGUGGGUGAGAAGUACGCGGAAUGCGUGGUGUAGCGGUGAAAUGCAUAGAUAUCACGCAGAACUCCGAUUGCGAAGGCAGCGUACCGGCGCCCGACUGACGCUGAAGCACGAAAGCGUGGGUAUCGAACAGG
rnacentral:rRNA from 1 species